GGGAAUAAUCUACUUCUUCCUCAUGACUUAUAUGUUCCUGAUUUUACUAAUAUAAACCUCGUAAUCUAAAGACAAUGUCCAAGUUUAAUUUAGGAAGUACCUGAAGAGUUUCAUGGAAUUCCAUAGCUUUUUCCAUCGCAUGGAUCAAAUUUUCUUCACGCUUGGCAAACAAGGCUGUGAUUGUAUCCCAGGCAUUGUCUAAAUCUUCAAUGUGUUUCUUGACUUCCGGUUUAUCAGGUUCGCCACACACUUUCAUCAACUGCUGACCAGUGGCACGACAGUGCUCAACUUCUGGUUUUGUCUGCAAAUUAAUACGCCAAUUUGGUAAGUAAAAUUUGCUUGAACAGCUUGAAAAAGAUCAUUGAAUAUGAAGAUUUUUAACUUUGAAACGGAAAUAAAGUUAAAAAAGAAUAUUGUUCAAAUAAGUUUUUUGAACUUUGGAGCAGAACUCAAAAAAAAGUUUUAACUUCAUCAAUCAUGACAUUUCAGCAAUGUCUAAGUUUUCAUAAAUUACAUGUCACACACGCCUUCCUUUAAUUUAUCAUAUUAGGAGAGAGCUACAAAAACAGCUAUUAUACAUGCAUUUUCAGCUUUUAUUGCAUCAUCUAAAUGUAUUUAUUAACAUCUAUUUUUAAUUAGGUUCAUUGCUGAGAACUGAUAGGUAUAUUCUGAGCAGACAUGCAUCCUGAUUAAGAAGAACAAUAACUGAACAAUCGCUUGAAUAAGCAAAAUGAUUUGCCGGAUAAUGAUCCGAAUAAACUCAAGAAUUUUCUAGAAAAUUACCUGAUCAAUUUCAGCCUUGAUGUCUUUGAGAGCUUCUCUCUGCUGCUUGAUAAUUUCAGGCUGUACUGCUGGUGGUUCCUGAGAGUUGAGCGAGUGUUGAAGGUCACGGAGACGAGCCAUGACACUUUGAAGCUCAUCCCAGAAACGCUCAGCGAUGGCCAGAGCUUCUUCCAAUCUUGAUAACAUCAUUGGCUGCUUUCUUCACUGCCUGGAAUGCUUCUUCUCGCUUGUCCAAAUCCUCAAUCAGUACAUUGUUCUCAUCAAUUUGAUCCCUGAUACGUGGAGGAUGAGCUGAAAUGGGGUCAGCUCCAGCCACCUGAUCCGCGGUGUUGGCCAAUGCACGCAACAUACCCUCAAGCUUAUCACUAAAUUGACUAGAUUCCUGCAAUGAAGAGAAUAAAGUAUUUAUCAAAUUGAGAACUAGGCUCAAACAGACUCUGAAUGAUGAUAGAUCCAAACCAAACUCCAAUUCGACCUUGGAAAAGAUUCUUA
rnacentral:lncRNA from 1 species